rnacentral:lncRNA from 1 species
CAAAAAUAGUUCCAGAAGUGUGUUGGUCUCCCUGCCAUCACCUGGAGACCUCUUCUGUAAGCACUGUUGACUGAGAAAAGGCCAUCUUUGCUGUGCUUCCACAACAUCCUGUCUGUGGCAUUUGUAUUGAUGGUCACUCCGCCUAGCAUCCCUAAUAUCUCAGCCACCCUUUCCACCUCCCAAUCAUUGAGAAGUCUUCUAAAAACUAGAUCCCAGCCCUGUUCAGUCCAGCAAUCGCCAACAUUAGCAUCAGGAUU